AAUCAACGCUGGCGGCGUGCCUAACACAUGCAAGUCGAGCGAGAAAAGGGGGGCAACUCCCUGAGUAAAGCGGCGCACGGGUGAGUAACACGUGGGUAAUCUGCCCUGAAGUGGGGAAAAACAUCGGGAAACCGGUGCUAAUACCGCAUACGAUCACGAUGUCUGCGGAUGUUGUGAUGAAAGGAGCAAUUCGCUUUAGGAGGAGCCCGCGGCUGAUUAGCUAGUUGGUGAGGUAACGGCUCACCAAGGCUACGAUCAGUAUCCGGUCUG
rnacentral:rRNA from 1 species